rnacentral:tRNA from 1 species
GGCCUCGUGGUCUAGUGGUAUGAUUCUCGCUUCGGGUGCGAGAGUCCCGGGUUCGAUUCCCGGUGAGGCCC